ensembl:snoRNA
AUCUAACUCAUAAGUAUGUAGUCAGGUUUUCAUGCUCAUGUGUGACAUGUGCCUCUCUCAAACCUUUAUAUGACAUUAGCACAUUACUUGUCUGCUG